rnacentral:rRNA from 1 species
GACGAACGCUGGCGGCGCGCCUAACACAUGCAAGUCGAGCGAAGCGGCGGACGGGUGAGUAACACGUGAGUAACCUGGCUUAGACAUUGGGAUAGCCUCGGGAAACCGGGACUAAUACCAAAUGGUCUAAGAUGGACUCGCUUCCCAUUAGCUAGGUGGUGAGGUAACGGCCCACCAAGGCGACGAUGGGUAGCCGGGCAGUGAGGGUGAACGGCCACAUUGGAGCUGGGCAGCGGUGCAAACUCUACAGUAGGCGGCAGUGGGGGAUAUUGCACAAUGGAGGGAACUCUGAUGCAGCGACGGCGCGUGAACGAAGACGGCUUUCGAGUCGUAAAGUACUUUUAUAUGCUAAGCGGUACCAUAAGAAAAAGCCCCGGCUAACUACGUGCCAGCAGCCGCGGUAAUAC